rnacentral:rRNA from 1 species
AUUGAACGCUGGCGGAAUGCUUUACACAUGCAAGUCGAACGGCAGCACGGACUUCGGGAUGCCGACGAGUGGCGAACGGGUGAGUAAUAUAUCGGAACGUGCCCAGUAGUGGGGGAUAACUGCUCGAAAGAGCAGCUAAUACCGCAUACGACCUGAGGGUGAAAGGGGGGGAUCGCAAGACCUCUCGCUAUUGGAGCGGCCGAUAUCAGAUUAGCUAGUUGGUGGGGUAAAGGCCUACCAAGGCAACGAUCUGUAGUUGGUCUGAGAGGACGACCAGCCACACUGGGACUGAGACACGGCCCAGACUCCUACGGGAGGCAGCAGUGGGGAAUUUUGGACAAUGGGCGCAAGCCUGAUCCAGCAAUGCCGCGUGCAGGAAGAAGGCC